rnacentral:lncRNA from 1 species
UUAGUUGUGGUGUUUAGGGUAUUUGACUGUGUUUAGAGUUAUCUCACGUAGGGUUGUGAGAGACUUUGUAUACAGCUUUUGAGGGAAAUAUUAUAGACCCAUUUUCAUCCUUAAGGCUGAGAUAUUUAUAGAGGCUCAUUAGACUUGGGCUAGAGAACCCAAAAGCACCUUCUGUCUCUUCCAUGACCAGAUAACAUGACUAAGAGGAAACUUAUUCUCCCUGAAA